UCAGGCGGGGGUGGGUGAGUCCUGGAGUUUUAUCCAAUCAUUGACACUGAUGUGGGAACCGCCCAAUCAGGCGCGCAGUUGGAGAGGACAGGAGAGGAGGGCGUGGCUUCCGGCGUUUGGCGGGGUCUUUGUCUCUCGCUGGCGCUGGCACAGGAACUUGGGAUCCGUCUCCUCUUUCGCCUCCUCCACUUUGGGAGCCCCGGGCUACUCUUUCACAGCCCCUGUUGCCCUGUGAUCUGUAGGUCCUUGGGGACGCACAGUUAAGAUGACAGGACAUCCUGGAAGCUGGGAAAUGGUGAGUAUACGGGGUUCGGCAUCCCGAGAGGGGAGAGCAGGCUGUGAAACCGGCAGGACCGGCCUCCCCACGGUUAGCUCCGAGUCUCCCGCAGCUUGGCCCUCAGUCCCCUGUGGCUGCAAGAUGGCCGCUGGGCCAGCAUCGAGGACCCCCACAUCCGGCCUGGCCCAUCCGGUCCUGUCCCUGGGCAGCGCCCUGCUCUGCGCCCACAGCCAUGAGUAUUUCCCAGAUUGUUCAGGGAGGCCUGGUGGGUCAUCAGGGAAAAACUGCCACUGGGUGUUUGCGUGGGAGGAGCUGCGGCCCAUGGGGUCCCCAGUCUCUCUUGUUAAAAAUUAAGGGGAGUCUAUGUUAAAACGUUAACCAGUUUAUCUGAACAAAGAGUGAUUGGUGAAAUGGAAAGCACCCAGCCAUGAUUUCUGGUCCACCAGAGGGGCAUAAAGGAAAGGCUUUCAUAAGAUGCAUGAGAAAGCAGCCCAAAUUCAAAAAUUGGUUCCAGUUAUGUAGUCACCUUAUUUGAACUAUCCAGAUGGAAAUGUCCUGGUUACAUAUUCAGAGGUUAAUUGCAUGUUUGCCAUUGGUUAAACGUGCAUUUUGUUUCAGGCUAAGAUAAUGGUUUAUAGGAAAUGUAUUUGAGUUAGGUUUUAGUUUUUUUUUUUUUUUUUUUAACCUAUGAACCCAGGACACUAGAGCCACUUUAGUCUAAUUUUCUGCUCUUUAAUUAUUUUAACUCUCCAGAGGAGGACUGGUUUUCUCCUGUGUUUUUUUUACUAUAUGGCAAGUGGAACCUCUAAUCGACCACCCUGUUUUUCAGCCUAACUCAGGCUUGCGGUAAAAUUAUCAGUUCCCACUUUCUUUGCUGCAUUCUCAAAUGCAACACAGGAGAACAGCUUUCCCUUGCCAAUUUACAAUGCUGUUAACUAUUUGUCCUUUAUUAUACAUUUCAUUAAAGUUUUCUAUUAUUGGAUUUCUUUCUACUUCUCCCUACAGUUCUGCCCGUAUUUUCUUUUUAUAUUUAGAAGCCUCCCUUUUGGGUGCAUAAAUAUAUAUAGCUAUAUUCACUUGACAAAUUAACCUCUAUUAUUAUUGUAUGGUAAACUCAUUUCAUGCUUGUGAGAGACAUUGCUAGAAAGUCUAUUUUGUCUAAUUUAAGCAUAACUACCAUUGGACUCCUUUGGCUAUUAUUUGCAUGGAAUAUCAUUUUCUAUCCUUUCACUUUUAGCCUAUGCUCUUAAUUCAUAAUUGAGUCUCUUGUAAGCAGCAGAUUACGAGGUUUAAAAGUUUCAUUUAUCCACUCUAUCUGCUUUAGUCUCUUUUGACUGUUAUAACAGAAUAUCACAGACUGGUAAUUAAUAAAGAAAAGAAUUUUAUUUGACUCAUGAUUCUGGAGUCUGGGAAGGUAAAAGAACAUGUUACUGGUAUCUGUUGAAGGUCUAGUUGCUGGAUAAUAACAUGGCCAAAGAUGUGAGGGAGAGAGAGCUUUUUUUUUUUUUAAUAUAUAACAGAUCCAUUCUUGUUAAAAUUAGCCCAUUCCCAUAAUAAGAACAUUAAUCCAUUCAUGAGGGCAGAGUGCUUAUAGCUUAAUUAAUUUUUAAAGGUUCCACCUCUUAAUUCUAUCACAUUGGCUAUUUUAUCCUAAAUUUUGGAGAUGACAUUCAGUCUACAGAAGUAUCUGUUUAGUAGAUAAUUUAAUCUUUUUAUUUGUAAGGUAGUGAUAGGUAAGCAGUUACUAUUGUACAUUUGUAGUUUUCUGUCCAUUUUAAGUUUGCUUCUUUUUUUUCUGGUUCUGUCUUUCCUGUGGUAUUGUUCAUUUUUGUUGAGACAAAGUUAUGCUUUCUUGCUCAGACUGAAGUUCAGUGGCAUAUCACAGCUCACUGUAGCCUCAAUCUCCUGGGCUCAAGCAAUCCUCCCCCCUUAGCCACCCAAGUAGCUUGGACUACUUGGACACGUACCACAACACCCAAGGAGCUUAUGAUUCUUCCACCUUGGCCUCCAAAAGUGUUGGAAUUAUAAGCAGGAGCCACUGUAUCCAAUGUGUAAUUUUUGUUGUUUGUGUAUGCUUUAAUUACUUUCUCUUUUUCUUUACUAUGUUUUUUUUUCCCCCAGUGGUUAUCAUGAGACUUAUGUAAAACCUCUUGUAUUUUAAUAGUCUAGUUUAAGAUGAUAACAAUUUAGAGUAUUCUGAAUUUCAGUAUGUAUUUACCAUUUUUAGUGACAUUUAUACUUUAGUAUUUUUCAUAUUGUUAGUUAGCAUUUCAUCAUAUCAAUGUGAAGAUUUCUUCCAGACCUUGGCUGGAGAAGGAAAGAAGGUGUGUUUUGCCUGAUUCAGGGACUAUAGAGAGAACCAAGUUCUGCAGGCCUGUCACCUAAGUCUCAGAUGAGUAUGAAUUCUUUUGUGUUUUUCACAGAUUUUUGCAGUGGCAGGACCAAGUUCAAAUGAGUCAUAGCCAAGUUUACAGUAAGAUGUGGUAGUAUUCUGUUUUGAACCGAGGACCAUGAUUGGCAAGCUUGCCACUUGGUCAAGUGCUUACCCUCUAAAGAUGUCUUCCUUGGUCUUUGCCUCCAGCUGGGUGUCACAAACUCUGAACUGGAUUCUAAGGCUUUCAUGAAUGCACUUAUGUUUCCCGUGGCAGCUGCAUUAUGUUGUGGGGGAUGUGCAUGCCGAACCUCCCAUUCUGUCGUCUUGCUUAUGUUACUCUCCUUUAUGUUUCACUUUCUCAAAUGAAUGUCAAGCUGGUGAUUUUUAGAUUCAAAAAUUCUAAAAUAAAUUGCUCAAAUUUCCACAUUAUGUAAGCUAUUAAUAAAAUGUCUUGUAGGUGCUACAUAUUUAUUAAAAUUUUUGGUUGUAAUUUUAAGCUCACUGCAGGCAGAAAGGAAUCAUUAACAUUUAUAUUCUUUUUUUUAGUCUGUAUCUAAAUGAUGGUAUAUUUUAAUUCCAGAUAUUUACUUUAUACUGCAGUAAUGCUCGUCAUAUUUUGCAAAAUUUAUGUUGUUCUUUUAUUUGGAAAUAUAAGGCUUUUUUAGCUCUUGAAAUCUAUAUUAUAGUCAUAUAAUUUUAUUAUGUUUUGUGGUAAGAAGUGCAGCAACAUAUUGAGAACAUAAUAAAAUUAUCCUGUAUUUUUAAUGAUUAUUUAUUAAAUUCCUCUCAUUAGAGCCUGUUAUUAAUGAUUGUAAUGUAUUUUCUAUAUAAUUUUACUGCAAUUUAUUAAAUUCUAAUGACUUAAAUUGUCUGCUUUUCAUGAGUGCACACAGUUGAAUGCUGUAGAUAUCUAAAGAAUUAUUUUUCGGCCGGUUGUGGUGGCUCAUGCCUGUAUUCCCAGCACCUUGGGAGGCCAAGGCGGGUGGAUCACGAGGUCAGGAGAUCGAGACAACCCUGACUAACAUGGUGAAACCCCGUCUCUACUAAAUAUACAAAAAAUUAGCCGGGCAUAGUGGCAGGCGCCUGUAUCCCCAGCUACUCAGGAGGCUGAGGCAGGAGAAUGGCGUGAACUCAGUGGACAGAGUUUGCAGUGAGCCGAGAUCGCGCCACUGCACUCCAGCCUGGGCAACAGGGCAAGACUCUGUCUCAAAAAAAAAAAUAAAAAAAAAAACGGUUAUUUUCCAUUGUAAAUCUAUGUUGUAUUCAGGAUUUUAUGCACGAAAAUCUCUCUUCUUAUUUUCAAGUCCGUGUUAUUGUGUUUCUUUUCUUGGGAGUUAUGUUUUCUCAGAUCAGUUAAAUGUAUUUUUAUUUUAAAGCUUGAUAUCAUCAGUUGAAAGAUAAUUUUUAGCUCGGUACACUUUAUCUCAAUGUGAUGUUUAAUAUAUGUGUGAAUUAGCUGUGUUUGUUGCUUAUAGAUAUAUCUGUAUGUUUUUCACUUAUGUAAGUAUGACAUCUUUUUCCUUGUUUUUUUGUUUUUUUCUUUUCAGUUUCAGAUAGGCUUUUUUUUUUUUAAGAGAAUUUUAAAACAGAGUCGAAAGAAGAGAAAUCAGUUAUUUGUCCUCUUGCAGGGUGGGGAGACAACUUCCUUCCCCACAGGUUUGAGGCUAUGCCUAAGUGGUGAGUCUUGAGGAGAUGCAGAAAGGAUCCAUCCCAGGCACUUGGCUGGACUUAAGUAAGCAUAGCCUUUAGGCCACAAGACCUGAUGGUUUGGGUACUGGUCUGGACAUAAGUCCCCAUCUUCCCAGAAAUAUCAUCUUUUGUCUGCAACAACUGGCUGGAGAAAUAUUUCAGAAAGAUGUGUGUCUGGAACACCCAAAGACAUACUUUUCCUUUCUCCUUGGCAUAGGCCUUGCAGCACUGAAGAAAGACCAGGUUUGCAAUGGAGCCUUCAACAGUCUUCAUCCCUAUGGAACUCAGGGUCUCAUAGGGUGACAGGAGAGGAGACAAAGCUAACUUGGGAAGAGUCUCUGUCCUUCAGCUUCUCCCCUACUGAAACACUAUAUAUUGGGCCCACAGUUCAUCACAAAACACACAUGCUCUCUUUCUUUCUCUCACACCCAAUCUUGGGAACCCAAAAACUUGAUGGCAGGUAGCUCUGGGUAUCCUUGGUCUGGCAUUCACCCACUGGGAAUCUAAGCUGUCCUAAAGCUCUUUUCAAUCACUUCUCACUGUUUCCAGGCCCAUGUGGGUAGGUGUUCCAGGCUUCAUUCUUUCAGGCUGAUCAUAAAGGCACAGUGUGGGAAAAUCCCCUACUGUGAUGGCCAUUGCUGGGAAGCAGGAAAGGCUAAGGGCCCACUGCUGCCCAAGGCUAGUAUAGAUGCCCUCUGCUCCACUCAUGUCCUCAAAGACUGAUAUCAGGUGCAGCAGCUGCUGUCUGGAAUGUUAUCAAACCAGGACUGCACAGGCACUGCAUUCUCUGUGUGGAAGACGUAAGAAGCAGGCGAGUUGUCCAGGAUGAGAGUUUUCCUCAGGUCCCUCCCCAGAUGGCUGAGGUCAUUGACAUAGCAGCCCUGGUGGAACAAACGUGACUCAUGGGCUAGGCAACCCCAGAACACCUCACACUGGUCCAGCACACCCAUCACAAUGUGUCUGGAAUUGGUGGGUUCUUGUUCUCACUGACUUCAAGAAUGAAGCCACAGACCCUCACGGUGAGUGUUACAGUUCUUAAAGGUGGCAUGUCUGGAGUUUGUUCCUUCUGACAUUCGGAUGUGUUGAGAGUUUCUUCCCUCUGGUGGGCUCGUGGUCUCGCUGGCUCAGGAGUGAAGCUGCAGACGUUCGCGGUGAGUGUUACAGCUCUUAAGGUGGCACAUCUGGAGUUGUUCAUUCCUCCAGGUGGGUUCGUGGUCUCGCUGGCUUCAGGAGUGAAGUUGUGGACCUUCACAGUGAGUGUUACAGCUCAUAAAGGCAUUGUGGACCCAAAGAGUGAGCAGCAGCAAUAUUUAUUGCAAAGAGCAAAAGAACAAAGCUUCCACAGUGUGGAAGGGGACCCGAGUGGGUUGCCACUGCUGGCUGGGGCAGCCUACUUUUAUUCCCUUAUCUGGCCCCACCCACAUCUUGCUGAUUGUUAGAGCCGAGUGGUCUUUUUUCACAGGGCGCUGAUUGGUGUGUUUACAAUCCCUGAGCUAGACACAAAGGUUCUCCACAUCCCCACCAGUGUAGCUAGAUACAGAGUGUUGAUUGGUGCAUUCACAAACCCUGAGCUAGACACAGGGUGCUGAUUGGCAUGUUUACAAACCUUGAGCUAGAUACAGAGUGCCGAUUGGUGUAUUUACAAUCCCUGAGCUAGACACAAAGUUUCUCCACGUCCCUACCAGACUCAGGAGCCCAGCUGGCUUCACCCAGUGGAUCCCCCACAGGGUCUGCAGGUGUAGCUGCCUGCCAGUCUGGCACUGUGCACCCGCACUUCUCAGCCCUUGGGUGGUUGAUGGGACUGGGUGCCGUGGAGCAGGGGGCGACACUCAUCCAGGAGGCUUGGGCACACAGGAGCCCACCGAUGGGGGGGAGGCUCAGGCAUGGCGGGCUGCAGGACCCAAGCCCUGCCCUGUGGGAUGGCAGCUAAGGCCCAGCGACAAAUUGAGCACAGCAGCUGCUGGCCGAGGUGUUAAGCCCCUCACUGCCUGGGGCCGGUGGGGCCAGCCGGCGGCUCCGAGUGUGGGGUCCGCCGAGCUCGCGCUGGCCUUCAAGCACUGCACGCCGCCCUGGUUCCCACACGCACCUCUCCCUCCACACCUCGUCGCAAGCUGAGGGAGCCGGCUCCGACCUUGGCCAGCCCAGAAAGGGGCUCCCACAGUGCAGCGACAGGCUGAAGGGCUCCUAAAGUGCCGCCAAAGUUGGAGCCCAGGCAGAGGAGGCCCGGAGAGUGAGCAAGGGUUGUGAGGACUGCCAGCACGCUGUCACCUCUCAACAGGAUCUGCAUACUUGUUCAGUCUGGAAUGAAGAGAGCAAUGAAGAAAACACAUUUAAACAGUUCCUCCAGUCAUCUCAGGAACUCAUCCAUAUAAGGCCUCAUGGUCCCCUCAAUCUUUACAGUCACUAGGCAGUCAGCAUUGCUGAUUGGCUUAAUGGAGCUAUGCACAAGGGUUUCAUCCAUGUCAGUGACCAUACAGAUCGUUCCUUGAUUUUUCUCUGUCACCUCUGGGAGCAGGCAGGUCCCUGGGAUCUGAUAAAACUGAUACUGGAGACACUUGAGCUGAUCCGACUUAGCAAUGGUGUUGACUCCCUCCUUAUGUGUGGAGAACUCAGUGGGGGAACUUGACUUGCCAACAUGCUGGGUGCAAGAACAGCAGAAAGGUACCUUCUAAGAUGUCACAAACAUGAGGCCUCUUCGGAGAGCACUUUGGAAACCAGGCCUUGCUUGCUAAGGACCAGGGCAUCUUCCCUCCAUGCCUGGGUGGUGAUGGAGCCUGGUUCCAUCUAACAAUCCUGAGGGCUCGGCUGGCUGGGUGGGAAGACAGCGGGCACGUUGGCUGGACUGGGCUGGGGGGCAUGGGCUGGGGCCUGAUUCAGUUCCCGAGAGUCUGACUUCCACAGCUGUUCACAUACCCCUUCUCCUUUCCAUCACAGGCCGGGAAGAGAGGCGGCCUGUAGGGACGGUGGAUGGCCUUGGCAGCAGCUCCCCAGGGUGCCCCCAGCCCCAAAUCCCCCAGCAGGAGCUUCAGGAUCUUCAGUUUGGGUCUAACCUAGGGAAUCCACCUCAUACUCAUGUUUUUUCAAGUUUUAUUUUAAGUUCAGUGGUCCAUAUGUGAUAAGCUUUUUUUUCAACUUUUAUUUUAAGUUUAGGGGUCCAUGUGCAGGAUAUGCAGGUCUCUUACAUAGAUAAACGUGUGCCAUUGUGCUUUACUGCACAGAUCAUCUCAUCACCCAGGUACUAAGCCCAGCAUCCGCAGCUAUUCUUCCUGCUGCUCUCCUUCCCCUCCCCCAUGCCAUGAAACAGGUGUCCAGUGUGUGUUGUUCUUCCUGAUGUGUCCAUGUGUUCUCAUUGAUCUGCUUCUGCUAAUAAGUUAGAAUAAUAAUAGGUGGUGUUUGGUUUUCUGUUCCUGCAUUAGUUUGCUGGGAGUAAUGGCUUCAAAUUCCAACCAUGUCCCUGCAAAGGACAUCAUCUCAUUACAUUUUAUGGCUUCAUAGUGUUCCAUGGUGUAUGUGUACCACAUUUUCUUUAUCCAGUAUAUCAUUGAUGGGCAUGUAGAUUGAUUACAUGACGUUGCUAUUGUAAAUAUUGCUGCAAUGAACAUAUGUAUACAUGUUUAUUUAAAAUAGAUUUAUAUUCCUUUGGGUGUAUGCCCAGUAAUAGUAUUGCUGGGUCAAAUGGUAUUUCUGCUUCUAGGUCUUUGAGGAAUCUCCACACUCUCUUCCACAAUGCUUGAAAUAAUUUACAAUCCCACCAACAGUGUAAAAGUGUUCCCUUUUCUCCACAACCUCACCAGCAUCUGUUUUUAUUUCUUUUUUACUUUUUAUUAAUAGACAUUGUAAUUGGUGUGAGAUGGUAUCUCAUUGUUGUUUUGAUGUGUAUUUAUCCAGUUAUCAGUGAUGUUGAGCUUUCCAUGUUUGUUGGGCACAUGUAUGUCUUCUUUUGAGAUAUGUCUGUUCAUGUCCUUUGACCACUUUUUAAUGGGGUUGUUUGUUUUUCUCUUGUAAAUUUUAAGUCCCUCAUAGAUUCUGGGUAUUAGAUAUUUGUCAGAUGAAUAGGUUGCAAAAUUUUUCUCCCAUUCUCUAGCUUCUCUGCUCUGAUGAUAGCUUCUUUGGCUCUGUGGAAUCUCUUUAGUUUAAUUAGACCCCAUUAGUCAAUUUUUGCUUUUGUUGCUAUUUCUUUUGGUCUUUUUGUCAUCAAAUCUUUCCUCAUGACUAUAUCCUGAAUGGUAUUUUCUAGAUUUUUUCUUCUAAGGUUUUUAUAGUUUUGGGUUUUACAUUCAAGUCUUUAAUCCAUCUUGAGUCAAUUUUUGUCUAUGGUGUUAGGAAGGGUUCCAGUCUUAAUUCUCUGCACAUGACUAGCCAGUUAUCCUAGCACUAUUUAUUGAAUAGGGAGACUUUUCCCUAAUUCCUUGUUUUUGUUGACUUUGUCAAAGAUCAGUUUGUUGUAGGUUUUUGGCUUUAUUUCUAUGCUCUCUAUUUUGUUUCAUUUGUCUAUGUGUCUGUUUCUAUACCAGUACCAUGCUGUUUUUGUUACUGUACUCUUCUAGUACAGUUUGAAGUUAGGCAAUGACCCUUUCAGCUUUUUUUUUUUUUUUUUUCUUAAGGUUGGCUUGGCUAUUUGGGCUCUUUUUUGGUUCCAUUUUAAUUUUAAAAAGUUUUUUUUUUCUAAUUAUCUGAAGAAUGUCAGUAGUUCAAUGGGAACAGCAUUGAAUCUAUAAAUUACUUAGGGCAAUAUGCUCAUAUUCGUGGUACUGAUUCUUUCUCUCCGUGAGCAUGGAAUGUUUCUCCAUUUGUUUUGUGUCCACUCUGAUUCCUCUGAGUAGUUGUUUGUAGUUCUCCUUGAAGAUAUCCUUCACUUUCCUUCUUAGCUGUAUUCCUUGGUAUUUUUUUCUCUUUAUAGCAAAUGUGAAUGAAAGUUCAUUCAUGAUUUGUCUCCCUGCUUGCCUGUUGCUUGUGUAUGGGAAUGCUAGCUACUUUUGCAGAUUGAUUUUAUAUCCUGAGAUUUUGCUACUGCUGCUUAUCACCUUAAGAAGCUUUGGGGCUGAGACGAAGAGGCUUUCUAGAUAUAGGGUCAGGUCAUCUGUAAACAAAGAUAAUUUGACUUUCUCUCUUUCUAUUUGAAUACUGUUUAUUUCUUCCUCUGGCCUGAUUUUCCUGGACAAGUUUUCCGAAUGGGAGUUGUAAUGCGAGUGGUGAGAGAGAGCAUACUUUUCUUGUGCCGGUUUUCAGGGGGAAUGUUUCCAGCUUUUGCAUAUUCAGUAUGAUAUUGGCUGUGGGUUUGUUGUAUAUGGCUCUUCUUAUUUUGAGGUAUGUUUCUUCAGUUCCUAAUUUAUUGAGAAUUUUAAACGUGAAGGAAUGUUGAAUUUUAUUGGGUGCUUUUUCUGCAUCUAUUGAGGUAAUCAUGUGGUUUUUUUAUUUAGUUUUCUUUAUGUGAUGAGUCACAUUUGUUGAUUUGCAUAUGUUGAAUCAACCUUGCAUCCUGGAGACAAAGCCAAUUCCAUUGUGGUGGAUGCACUUUUUAAUGUGCUGCUGGGUUUGGUUUGCCAGUAUUUUAUUGAGGAUGUUUGCACAGUGUUCAUCAAAGACAUUGGCAUGAUGUGUUGUUGUUGUUGUUGUUGUAUCUAUGUUAGGUUUUGGUAUCAGGAUGAUGCUGGCCUGAUAGAAUGAGUUAGACAGAACUUCUUUGUCUUCAAUUUUUUUUGGAUAGUUUUAGGAGAAAAUGUACUAUCUCCUCUUUACCUCAAGUCAAAUUCAGCUUGCUUGGUAGGCUAGUUCUUACUGUCUCAAUUUCAGAACACAUUAUUGAUCUAUUCAGGGUUCAGUCUUGUAGAGAGUUUAUUUUGCAAGGAAAUUGUCCAUUUCUUCUAGAUUUUCUGGUUUAUGAGCAUAGAGGUGUUUAUAGUAUUCUCUGAUCGUUGUUCUUAUUUCCAUGGGAUCAGUGAUGAUAUCUCCCUUAUUAUUUCUAUUUGUGUUUGGUUCUUUCUUUUCUUAUUUAUUUGCCUAACUAGUGUUCCAUCUAGUUUAUAAAUUUUUUUUUUUUUCAUAAAAACAGCUCCUGGAUUGGUUGAGUUUUUUUUUUUUUUUUUGGAAGAGUUCUCAGUGUCUCUAUCUCCUUCAGCUCUACUCUGAUCUUGGCUAUUUCUUAUCUUCUGCUAGCUUUCAGGUUUGUUUUCACUUGGUUUUCUUGUUCUUUUAACCAAGAUGUUAGGCUGUUAACUUUAGAUCUUUCUAAUUUUUUUUUUUCUUGUGGGAGAGUUUCACUCUGUCACCCAGGCUGGAGUACAGUGGCAUAAUCUCGGCUCACUGCAACCUCCACUUCUCGGUUUUAAGUCACUUCUGCUGUCUCAGCCUCCUGAGUAGCUGGGAUUACAGAUGUGAAUCACCACACCUAGCUAAUUUUUGUAUUUUUUUGUAGAGAUAUGGUUUUGCUGUUGGCCAGGCUGGUCCUGAACACCUGGUCUCAAGUGAUCUGCCUACCCCAGCCUCCCAAAGUGCUGGAAUUACAGGCAUGAGCCACCAUGACCGGCCCUUUCUAGCUUUUUGAUGUGGACAUUAGUGCUAUAAAUUUCCCUCUUUUCUUGGUUUCUAGUGAUUAUUUUAUUCUAUCUUGGUGAGUAGUCAGGGAAAUAAUCUUAAAUUUACAAUCAACUUAUAGUUUAAAUCUAAAUAAUUAAGUGAGAAGAACCCUUUGUUAUUUGAAGGGGAUGUUUGAAGAUUUUGUAACCGUGCCUUUUAGGUAGUCCUAAAUUUCUAAUUGUAGUUAAAAACAUGCCAUUUUCAUUUCUAACAUUUUAAGUAUAUGGUUUAGAAGUGGUAAGUAUAGUUCUAUUUUUUUUUGCAAUAGGUUUUAGAUAAUUUUUGUCUUACAAAAGUAAAAGUGAAUACUCAUUAAUUCUGAAACAAGUUAGUUAGCUUGCUUUAGUUAGAUAGCAAGAGAAGGGUCCCUGGAAAGUCCCUGGCCCUUGGGUCAGUGUCUCAUCCCUGCAUAAUAUAAAAGGAAUCCUGGAAAAAAUCAAGCUGCAGACACUAACAAGGUAACUAGCACAUGGUGUUGUGCUUGGAGACCUGCCCAUGGCUGCACAGACAGAAAAACCUCUGGCAUAUUUGGAUAAAAACUUGUACAAACCUCCAGCUCACUGAGAUAAGGGAACAAGACCGACCUGGCAUAGAAAUGCCUUUGUUUGUCCAGGCACAGUGGCUCAUGCCCGUAAUUCCAGCAAUUUGGGAGGCAGAAGUGGGCGGAUCACCUGAGGUCGGGAGUUCGAGACCAGCAUGACCAACAUGGAGAAAAAUACAAAAUUAGCCGGGCAUGGUGCCUCAUGCCUGUAAUCCCAGCUACUUGGGAGGCUGAGGCAGGAGAAUCACUUAAACCCAGGUGGCGGAGUUUGCUGUGGGCCGAGAUCGCACCAUUGCACUCCAGCCUGGGCAACAAGAGCAAAACUACGUCUCAAAAUAAAUAAAUUAAUAAAUAAUAAGAAAGUACAUCUCAAAAACAAAAAUGAAAGAAAGAAAGAAAAGAAAAAGAAAAAAAGAAACGCCUUUGUACUUUGUGCAGUCAGUGGGCUCCCAGGAAAAUGUUUCUUCUCCUUUUGUGGGCAUAAGCACAGUGGGCUCUGGUGCAUUCCGGUCGACACUCUCCUUUAUUUGGACUGUAAGUCAGACCUCUGUGAAUAAUUACUUCAGCCCCUGAUUGCUCCCGGGACAAGCUCCUGCGCCAAGCUUUCACUUUAGCUUCUGAUAAGUCCUGGGCCAAUCUAAAUAGCAUCUAUGAAUCAUCCCUUCAGCUCCUGAUUGGUCCCGGGUCAAAGUCCUGGGCCAAGCUGAGCCACACUUUUUUCAAGACAGCCUGUUAACUAGGCACAUUUCCUUCUCUUCCUUUCCCAGUCCAUAAAAACCUUGGGCCCCAGCCUCACAGAGGUCACCCCAUUCAGAAACUAUCUCUGCUGGCAAAGAGCUUUCUUCUCUUGCUUAUCAAACUUUCACUCUAACCUCACCUUUGUGUUCACGCUCCUUAAUCUCCCUAGAAGUAGAACAAAGAACUUUCGAUGCUAUCUCAGACUAUGAGAGACUGUUACAUCUUGGUGCACUGCUGAGACUACAACACUUGGUUUCUUUGAGUUUGACUAAAUAUUUUACAUAGGUGUAAUUAUACAGUUUUCCUUUUUGACUGUCUUGUUUUACUUAACAGAAUGUUUUCGAGAUUUGUCCUUAUUGUAGUACUUUUCAAGAUUUCCUUAUUUUUAAGGCUGAAUGCUAUCCAGUGAAUAUACGUGCCCUGUUUGUUGAAUCUACUCAUCCUUAAAGGUACAUUUGCUUCCAGGUAGUAUGUUUGUGAGUAAUGCUACAGUGUACAUAAAUGUGCAUAUAUCUAUUCCAUGUUCUGCUUUGCCUGUUUGGGAUAUUUUUCACACACUGAUUUAGUACCAUGUGUAUUCCCUUGCUUUUGUUGUCUGAUUCGUUGAUGUUACAUCCCCCAAAUUAUUGCCGAGACCAAUUGUCAUGAAGCUUCACCCUUCUGUAUUGUGCUAGGAAUUUUACAGCUAUAGAUUUUACAUUAUAGUCUUCAUAUUUUAAAAUUGACACAUGUAAUUGUACAAAUUUUGGGGAAACAAUUAUGUAUAUAUGUUGUAUAGCAAUAAAAAUCAGAGUACUUAGUGUAAUUAUUGCCUCAUACAUUUGUUAUUUUUGUGGUGAGAACAUUCAAAAGCUUCUUCUCUAGCUAUUUUUUUAUAUCUUUAUAUAUUAACUUUUUUUAGAGACAGGAUCUUGCUCUAACACACAGAUUGGAGUGCAGUGGUGCAAUCCUAGCUCACUGUAACCUCAAACAAUCUUCUAACCUCAGCUUCCCAAUUAGCUGAGACUACAGGAACCUGCCUCCAUGCCUGGAUAAUGUUUUAAUUUUUCAUAGAGACAGGGUCACACUAUGUUGUCCAGGCUCAUCUUGAACUUCUGACAUCAAGUGAUUCUCCUACCUCAUUCUCCCAAAAUGUAUGGAUGGCAGGAAUGUGCCACCACAACUGGUCUCUUUUAGCUAUUUUGUAAUUUGAGAUAACUUUUCAUUAAUUAUUAUUAUUCUGCUGUGUAACAAAAAACAAAAACUUAUUUCUCCUAUCUAAUUGUAACACAAUACUUUUGAAGCUGCCUUUUCCCAUCUCCCUGCUUCAGUCUCUGGGAACCCCUGUUGUACUCUUUGCUUAUAUCAACCCUUUUUUUCAGGUUCCUCAAAUGAGUGAGAUAAUAAGAUCAUAAAGUAUUUGUGUUUCUCUAUGUGGCUUAUUUUACUUAACAUGGUAUGCUCAAGGUUCAUCCAUGCUCUUUUAACUGACAGAAUUUUAUCCUUUCUUAUAGCUGAAUAGUAUUUCACUGUGCAUAUAUAGUACAUUUUCCUUAUCCAUUUAUCUGUUGCUGUACAUUUGAAUUGAUUCCAUAUAUAAGCUAUUAUAACUAGUUCUGUAACUAACAUGGAAAUGCAAAUAUCUUUUUGACACAGUGAUAUCCUUUCUUUUGUAUAUACAUGCAGGAGUAAAAUUGCUGGAUCAUGUAAUACAUCUAUUUUUAAUUUCUUUCAGAAACCUCCAUAGUAUUUUCUAUAGUGGCCAUACUAAUUUACAAUUCCACCAACAAUGUAUACAUUCACUCAUUUUAUAUCCUCAUUAGUACUUGUUUUAUUUAUUUAUUUAUUUUUAUUAUAGCCAUUCUAAAUGGGAGUGAGGCGGUACCUCAUUGUGGUUUGGAUUUUCAUUUCCUUAGUGAUUAGUAAUGUAGAACAUAUUUUUAUGUUCCAGUUAGCCAUUUUUGUAUCACUUUUUGACAAACAUCUAUUAAGAUCUUUUGCAUUUUUUUAAUUAGAUUAUAAGUGUAUUUUAUUUUGAGAUUUUAAAGUUUCUUAUUUAUUCUGAAUAUUAGCCUUUUGUCAUAUGUAUAGCCUGAAAGCAUUUUCUUUUAUUGCCUAAGCUGUCUCUUCAAUCUUUUAGUUUUUUUAAUAUGGAAAAGCAUUUUAGUUUGACAUAAUGUUGUUUGCUUAUUUUUGAUUUUGUUGCCUAUGUUUUGACAUGUUAUUUUAAUAAUCCUUUCCCCGUCGAAUGUUAUAAAGCAUUUUUUAGUUUUUCUCUAAUAGUUUCAUAAUUGAUAGCAUUACAUUUAAGUCUUUAGUUUGAAUUGAUUUUCAUAUAUGGCAAGGCACAGGGGUCUAGUAUAAUUUUUCUGAAUUUAAAUAUUUAAAUGGCCCUGCAUCAUUUAUUGAAGAAAUUAGCUUUUCCCUAAAGUGUGUUCUUGGCAAUUUUGUUGACAAUCAGUUGGCUUUAGGUGCAUAAACUAACUUCUGGGCUUCUUGGGCACAUUAGUCUAUGUGUUUGUUUUUAUGCCAGUACAGUGCUCUUUUGGUUACUAUAGCUUUGUAGCAAGUUUUAAAGUUUGAUAAAGUGAUGCCUUUAGCUUUGCUUAUUUUGCUCAAAGUUAUUUGUCUAUUCAGAGUUUUUUGUGGAUCCACAUAAAUUUAAAAUAUUUUUUCUAUUUCUGUGAAAAAAUGUCAUUGAUAUUUUGAUAAAAAUAUUACCUCCCACAGGGUCCCUCCCAGGACAUGUGGGGAUUAUUACAAUUUAAGAUGAGAUUUGAUUGGGGACACAGAGCCAAACCCUGUCAAUUACUUAAAUCCAGGAGUUCGACACUACCCCGGGCAAUAUUGUGACAAGCUAUUGGUAAAAAAUAUUUUCACAGAUUACUCAGGCAUUGUGGAAUGUUCCUGUAGUCUCAGGAAGUUGGAGGCUGACGUAAGAUUAUUCCUUGAGUUCCCCAGGAACUUGAGGCUGCAUUGAGCUAUAAUCAUCGUAUUGUAUUCCUGUCUGGGUGAGAGAGUAAGACCUCUUUUUAGAAUUUCAAAUUUAUUUUAGAUUUAGGAGGUACCUACACAGGUUUUUUACAUGGGUAUUUUGUAUAAUGCUGAGGUUUGAAGUAUGAGUAAUUCCAUCAAUCAGGUAGUGAGCAUAGUACUAAGUAGACAGUUUUUCAGUUCUUGGUCCCUCCCUCUCUCCACCCUCUAAGAGUUGUCUAUUAUUUUUGUUUUUCUGUCCAUGUGUACCCAGUGUUAAUUUCCAUUUAUAAGUGAGAAUAUGCAGUAUUUUCAUUUUCCAUUUCUGCAUUAAUUUGCUUUGUAUAAUGGCCUUUAGUUGUGUUAACGUUGCUGCAAAGGAGGUUUUUUUUGUUUGUUUUUGCUAAGUAGUAUUGCUGUACAUGUGACACUUUUUAAAUUCAAUUUACCAUCAAUAGGCUGGACAUGGUGGCUGAUGCCUGUAAUCCCAGUGCUGUGGGAGGCCAAGGCGGGUGGAUCAUGAGGUCAGGAGAUCGAGACCAUCCUGGACAACGUAAUGAAACCCCGUAUGUACUGGAAAUACAAAAGUUAGCCAGGCUUGGUGGCAUGCGCCUAUAGUCCCAGCUACUCGGGUGGCUGAGGAAGGAGAAUUGCUUGAACCUGGGAGGUGGAGAUUGUAGUGAGCUGAGAUCGUGCCACUGCACUCCAGCCUGGGCAACAGAGUGAGACGUCAUCUCAAAAAAAUAAAAAAUUACCAUGAAUAGGCACGUAGGUUGAUUCAGGUCCUUCCUCUUAUGAAUAGUGUAGUGAUGAACCAACAAGUGCAUGUGCUAUUUUGGUAGAAUAGUUUAUUCUCUUUUGGGUAUAUACCCAGCGGUGAAAUUGCUGGGUUGAAUCACAGUUUAACUCUCAGUUAUUUGGAAAAUCUCCAAGCUGUUCUCCACAGUGGCUGAACUAAUUUACAUUCCUAUUAACAGUGUAUAAGUGGUUUUUUCCCUCUAAAACCCCAUCAACAUCUAUUAUCAUUUUACUUUUUAACAAAAACCAUUCUAACUGGUGUACAAUGGUGUCUUAUUGUGGUUUUUAUUUACAUUUCCUUGAUGGUUAGUGAUGAUAAGCUUUUUUCAUGUUAUUUGGCCACUUGUAUGUGUUCUUUUGAAGAGUGUCUGUUAUUGCCCACUUUUUCAUGGGGUAAUUUUUUCCUUGUGAAUUCUUUAAGUUUCUUAUAGAUUCUGAGUAUUAGAUUUUGUCAGGUUCAUAGGUUAUGAAUAUUUUUGCCAUUCUGCUAGCUUUGGGGUAAGUUAGUUUUUAUUUUUCUAGUUUCUCUAAGUGUGAUGUUAAAUUGUUAGUUUGAGAUCAUUCUAACUUCUUGAUGCAGGUAUUUAGCACUCUCAACUUUCCUCUUAACAGAGCUCUUCCUACAACCCAGACAUUUUGUUAUAUUGUGUCUCUUCUAUUUCAAAAUCUUUUUAAUUUUCUGCCUUAAUUUUUUUGUUUAUCCAAAAUUCAUUCAGGAGCAAGUUGUUUAAUUUCAAUAUCAUUCUGUGAUUUUGUGAGAUUUUCUUGGUAUUGAUUUUUAUCUUUGUUCCAUUGUGGCCUGUCAUAUUCUGUGAGCAGAUGAGAAGAAUUUACUUUCUUUAGAUGAUGUGUUGCAUAUACUAUAAAUGUCUAUUAGUUUCAAUUGAUCAAGUGUCGAAUCAAACUCCAGAAUUUCUUUGUUAAGUUUCUGCCUAGAUAAUCUGUCAAACACUUAGUGGGGAGUUGCAUUCCCCUACUAUUAUUGUGUGUCUACUUGAGGCUUAUUGUAGUUCUAGCAGUAAUUGUUGUAUAACUCUAUGUUCCCCAAAGUUGGGUGCAUCUACAUUUACGAUAGUUAAGUCUUCUUGUUGAAUUGAACCCUUUAUCGUUACGCAAUACCUUUCUUUGUUUUAUUUUACUAUUAAUGAUUUAAAGCUAUUUUUUCUUAAAAGAGAAACAAUUCCAGGUAUGGUAGCUUGUGCCAGCACUUUCAGACUGAAGCAGUCGGAUUGCCUGAGACCAGGAGUUUGAGACCAGCCGAGGCAACACAGCAACAUACUGUUUGUACAAAUUUUUUUAAAGAAACUAUACAGGAGGGGUAAUGUGCACAACUGUGGUCAUAUUUACUCAGGAGACAUAGGUGGCAUGACUGCUUGACUUCCGAAAUUUGAGGUUACAGUGAGCUGUGAUUCCACCAGUGUACUCUGUCCCAGGAGAUAAAGUAAGAUCCUCUGCAUAAAAUGAAAAAGUAAAGAAAAAUAAAAAGAUUUUAAGUUAAAAAAAUAAUUCCUAGAUCUCCACUUCUUUAGGUUCACUUGAAUAUAUAUUUUUCUCCUUUGAUUAGGUUAUAUUUCCUGGUUGCUUUUACUUACUGUAGUUUUGUUAAGGUUUUGAUCAAUUAAGAAACCACUACCUAUUUUAUCCUUUAUGAAAGAGCUUUAUACAUGGGAAAAUUGACAACAUUCAGCCACAGUAGUCAUACUGGGAGCUUCUCCAAUCUGUUGUCAAAAUGUGUCUUCUUUGGACUACUGUAUGUAUUUUCUUGUUAAUAAGGUUUACCUCUGUUUCCUCUUAGGAGCCUUUAGUCUCUUCCCUUCGUCACUGUUGUAGGCACUACAGUCUCUGUUGUUGUAAGAAGCAUUUAUCUUUAUUCUCAGUUGACCCAAGCUGUCAUUUAAACUCAGUCUCUAUUCUCAUCAACACUAAAUGUUAAAGGAAGCAAUUUCCAGUCUUUAGAUAACCCCGGUAUAACUCAGUAAGUCAGAAGUUUGCAUACGCAUUUCACUCUUUUUUCUUUCCCAAAGGAGAAUCAUGGAAUGGACAGAUUUUUAUCUAACUGCGCUGUUCUGUAGUGCACAAAUGUGACCAAAUUUUCUUCUAAAUGUGGUUAUGGUUGGCUUUUUUCUCAUGUGGGGUGCUACAAACUCAACUGGCUUUGUUCGCCCAAUUGUAGUUAAGUUCAUAUGUCAAUGGAGAGAAACAGGAUCUCAGGUUCUGCUUCAACUGUCAUUGUCUUCUCAGCUGACCUCAUUUUGUACAUUAGAUUUAUAAAAUAUAUUUACUUUAAUCUCAUCACCGAAUUUUUAAAAAAAUUAUUAUUUUUCAGCUCUUUUAGCAAUAUAUCCAAUCAAGACCCAGAGAAAACAGUACAUAGAAGCUUCUUUUCAAAAAGUAAUAUUGGGAAGAUAUGGGAGCUCUGGCCUUGAACUUUUACACUUAGGAGAGUGGGAAAUUGAAGGAUAAGUGUAAACGGCACAAAGUAUGCUAUGAUGAAUAUACCAGAUACACAGCAAUUACCUACAGCAAAAAUGUCACUGCUAGAAGAGCUCAAAACCAUAAAGUAUUUUGGAAAAAGCAUAAUUAAUGUUGAUUCUUUUUUCUGAACUAUAUAUUUAUAUAAUUACAUACCAAUAACAAUUUUUGAAACAUAUCAUGUUUUUGAAACAAAAUUUAGAAAAUCGCAAUAGUGGCCUAGGCCAGGAAUAUUUCUUCUAAUGCUAUCCCUCCCAUAGUCCCCCACUUCCCGACAGGCUCCAGUGUGUGAUGUUCCCCUUCCUGUGUCCGUGUGUUCUCUUUGUUUAACUCCCUAUUAUGAGUGAGAACAUGCGAUGUUAGCUUUUCUACUCUUGUGUUAGUUUGCUGAGAAUGGUGGUUUCCAGCUUCAUCCAUGUCCCUGCAAAGGACAUGAACUCAUCCUUUUUAUGACUGCAUCGUAUUCCAUGAUGUGGACAUGCCAAGUUUUCUUUAUUCAGUCUAUCAUUGAUGGUCAUUUGGUUUGUUUCAAAGUUUUUGCUCUUGUGAACAGUGCCAUAAUAAACAUACGUAUGCAUGUAUCUUUAUAAUAGAAUAAUUUAUAAUCCUUUGGGUAUAUACCCAGUAAUGUGAUUGCUGGGUCAAAUGGUAUUUCUCAUUGUGGAUCCUUGAGGAAUCACCACACUGUCUUCCACACUGGUUGAACUAAUUUACACUCUCACCAACAGUGUAUAAGUCUUCCUAUUUUUCCACAUCCUUUGUUGUUUCCUGAUUUUUUUAAUGAUCACCAUUCUAACAGGUGUGGGAUGGUUUCUCAUUGUGUUUUUGAUUUGCAUGUGUCUAAUAACCAGUGAUGAUGUCCUUUUCUUCAUUUGUUUAUUGGCUGCAUAAAUGUCUCCUUUUGAGAAGUGUCUGUUCAAAUCCUUUGCCCAUUUUCGAUGUUGUUGUUUCUUUUUUUCUUGUAAAUUUGUUUAAGUUCUUUGUAGAUUCUACAUAUCAGCCCAUUGUCAGACGGAUAGAUUGCAGAAAUUUUCUCCCAUUCUUUAGGUUGCCUGUUCACUCUGAUAUAGUUUUUUUUGUUGUGCAGAAGCUCUUUAGUUUAAUUAUAUCUCGUUUGUCAAUUUUGGCUUUUGUUGCCAUUGUUUUUGGUGUUGUAGUCAUGAAGUCUUUGCCCAUGCCUAUGUCCUGAAUGGUACUGCCUUGGUUUUCUUCUGGGGUUUUUAUGGUUUUAAGUCUUAUGUUUAAGUCUUUAAUCCAUCUUCAGUUAUGUUUUGUAUAACGAGUAAGGAAGAAGUCCAGUUUCAGUUUUUUGCAUAUGGCUAGCUAGUUUUCCAACACCAUUUAUUAAAUAGGGAAUCCUUUCCCCAUUACUUGUUUUUGUCAGGUUCAUCAAAGAUCAGAUGAUUCUAGAUGUUGAGUGUUAUUUCUGAGGCCUCUGUUCUGUUCCAUUUGUCAAUAUAUCUGUUUUGGUACGAGUACCAUCCUGUCUUGGUUACUGUGGCCUUUUAGUAUAGUUUGAAGACAGCUAGCAUGAUGCCUCCACCUUUGUUCUUUUUGCUUAGUAUUGUCUUGUCUAUGCAAGACCUUUUUUGAUUCCAUAUGAAAUUUGAAGUAGUUUUUUUUCUAAUUCUGUGAAGAAAGUCAAUGGGAGCUUGAUGGGGAUAGCAAUGAAUUUAUAAAUUACUUUGGGCAAUAUGGCCAUUUUCAUAAUAUUGAUUCUUCCUAUCCAUGAGCAUGGAUUGUUUUCGUUUGUUUGUGUCCUCUUUCAUUUCCUUGAGCAGUGGUUUGUAGUUCUCCUUGAAGUGGUCCUUUACAUCAUUUUUAAGUUGGAUUCCUAGGUAUUUUAUUCCCUUUGUAGCAAUUGUGAAUGAGAGUUAACACAUGAUUUGGCUCUCUGUUUGCCUAUUAUUGCGUAUAGGAAUGCUUGUGAUUUUUGAACAUUGAUUUUGUAUCCUGAGACUUUGCUGAAGUUGCUUAUCAGUUUAAGGAAAUUUUGGGCUGAGAUGGUAGGGUUUUCUAGAUAUACAAUCAUGUCAUCUGCAAACAAAGACAAUUUGACUUCUUCUCUUCCUAUCUGAAUACGCUUUAUUUCUUUCUUUCUUUUGCUGAUUGCCAGAACUUCCAAUACUAUAAUGAAUAGGAGUGGGGAGAAAGGGUGUUCUUGUCUUGUGCAGGUUUUCAAAGGGAAUGCUUCCAGUUUUUGCCCAUUCAGUAUGAUAUUAGCUGUGCAUUUGUCAUAAAUAACUCUUAUUAUGUUGAGAUAGGUUCCAUCAAUACAUAAUUCAUUGAGAGUUUUUACCAUGAAGAGGUGUGGAAUUUUAUUGAAGGCCUUUUUUGCAUCUAUUGAGAUAAUCAUGUGGUUUUUGUCAUUAGUUCUGUUUAUGUGAUGGAUUUUAUUUAUUGAUUUGCAUAUGUUGAACCAGCUUUGUAUCCCAGGGAUUAAGCUGACUAGAUCGUGGUGGAUAAGCUUUUUGAUGUGCUGCUGGAUUCGGUUUGCCAGUAUUUUAUUGAGGAUUUUCGCAUCGAUAUUCAUCAGGGAUAUGGGCCUGAAAUUUUCUUUUUCUGGUGUGUCUUUGCCAGGUUUUGGUUUCAGGAUGAUGCUGGCCACAUAAAAUGAAUUAGGGAGGAGUACCUCUUUUUCUAUUGUUUGAAAUAAUUUCAGAAGGAAUGGUACCAGCUCCUCUUUGUACCUUUGGUAGAAUUCGGCUGUGAAUCCGUCUGGUCCUGGACUUCUUUUUGUUGGUAGGCUACUAAUUACUGCCUCAAUUUUAGAACUUGUUAUUGGCCUAUUCAAGGAUUCGACUUCCUACUGGUUUGCACUUGGGAGGGUAUAUGUGUCCAGGAAUUUAUCCAUUUCAUCUAGAUUUUCUAGUUAAUUUGCAAAGAGGUAUUUAUAAUAUUCUGUAAUGAUACUUUUUAUUUCUGUGGGAUCAACGGUUAUAUCCCCUUUAUCAUUUCCUAUUGCAUGUAUUUGAUUCUUUUCUUCCUUAUUAGUCUGGCUAGAAGUUUAUUUAUUUUCUUGAUCUUUUAAAAAAACCAGCUCCUGGAUUCAUUGAUUUUUUGGACGGGCUUUUUGUGUCUCUAUCUCCUUCAGUUCUGCUCUGAUCUUAAAUCUUGUCUUCUGCUAGUUUUUGAAUUUGUUUGCUCUUGCUUCCCUAGUUUUUUUAAUUGUGAUGUUACGGUGUCGAUUUUAGACAUUUUUCUGCUUUCUCUUGUGGGGAUUUAGUGCUGUAAAUUUCCCUUUCAGACUACUUUAGCUGUGUCGUAUUUUACUUUUUAAGCCCUCAAUCUUCCUUUUUCAUCGUGAUAGUCUUUACUGUUUUAUGUUUAUGUAAUGUAAAAUUGACUACACAAUUUUUACAAAGAUUUUAUGAAAAUAUUUUAUUGAGAAUGUACAAACCGUCAGUCAAUUAGAGGAGAAGUUACACUGUCAUAAUAAAUAGCCACAAAGCAAAACGCCAAAAGACAUCCAAAUCAGAAUAAAACAAAACAUUUUAACAAAAACAAAAAGAACAAACUGGCAACAAAUAUGUGAAGUUUAUAUUACAAAGAUGCUCACUUAUCCACUCUAAAGAGAGCUUUUAGAAUUUGAUUUAAAAUACGGCAAAGACAUUAUCCCACACUUCACAGAAAAAAUAAAUUUAAGCAGCUGUUAACACAUGAAUGUAUUAUCAAGCUCAGAUAUAAUCAAAAUUAAAUAUUUGACAAGAGAUUCUACAGUUUGGGAGAAAUAGAAGUGUUUUUUUCUUUUCCCCAGGCCCACAAGUCUAGUUUCUUGUUCUUCUUCACUAUAAUGGGGUUUGUCAUCAGCUCCCCAAAAUAUGGGAAGCACAGAGCAGGUGGUGGCUGAAGGUGGGGUAUCCUGUGAAACCAUAUUUAAGAUCAGAGCCCUUGGUCCAUUGUGUUGUAAUCAGCUGGCUCAGGAAAGAACACCUGGCUGUCCAGAGCUCUACACCUACUGCACUGGGUGUGAAAGGAGGCCUGAGAACCCAUGGGUCCCAAACCCACCCCACUCCAAAUUAUCAUCCAGUAUUGAGAACUCUGACACCAAAUUCUCACAGAGCAUAUGUUUAUGCAGUUUUACAUUUAAUUUCUCAUUACAUUACAAUUGGGAAACUGAGGCCCCAGAAGAGGCAGAGACUGGUCCAGAUCUCAGGAGGUGGGCAGGCUCCAGAGCAUUAGAGAGGGCUCCAGCUUCCUAGGCCUUGGCACCGUCCCACUUAUCAGGUUUGUUUUCGAAAUUAGAGUCUGUAGCUACACAUUCAGGAGCACAGAAAAUGAGCAGAUUCAGGGUUCUGUUCACAUGGGGUCCUCUCCAUGUCAGUUUCAAGAUAACAGGACUGGGGUUCUGCAUCCAGCUCUGAGGGCAACUGGAAGUAAAAUGAGCUAUGCUCCACCUCAGCCUAAUGUAGACAGUGCCUACAGGAAAGCUUGUUUUCUUCCUCAUAAAUAGGGGUGCCUGAAGUGGGUGACCUUGAUGAUUUCACAUACUCAUAAGUGUCUGCCAGCCUGGAUUCUUGCUCUGAGACUGCAAAAAUGCACCCACUCUGCAGAUCCUUCAAAUCAGAGGGAGGCAUGGCCACUUGAGAGGCAUCUUGGGUAGAUGAAGAUGAGACAGAGUUAAAUGUGCCAGAGCACUGGACUCUGAGGCUGAGGUCCACGGAAAAUCUCAGCUACUGUUGCGUUCUUAAGGUCCUCAUUUGAAAGUGGUAGAAAAUAAUUUCACUGGAUAAGGGGAGGAUACCUCAUGAGUAAAUAGCACAACCAAAAAGGUGGAGGCAAAGAGAGGGCAAAACGGGAUUCCUAGUUCACUCAUUAUACUUGGGGCCUUCAGAUCCUGCUACUUUAUCCCCUAGGACCUUGAAGAACCAGUGUCUUGAGGACAGAAAAAUCAAGGUAUCAGAUUUGUUCAGUAGUGCUCCUGCUUGGGGCUGUAGGGUUAGUGAUGGCCAGGAGGUGGUUACAGCCUACUGUGUUUCUGGUGCCCACUGAGCUUUGCUGGAGCAGCUGGAACAAGUAACAGUCACACACCUCAUGUUGUUAUCAGUGAUGUCCACAUUAUCAGGUGGUCAAAAGGGGAAGGGAUAUUAGGGAUCCCCCAUAUAAUCACUUAGCCAGUCUUUUUUCCCUUGCGCUCACCAUUUGCCAGCGACCCUGGUGGGUCCAACAUGUGGUACAGAAAAUUAUUACUUCAUGUCUGCACCCCCCAACCCAGGACCAAACAAUCUGAGGACCGCUGGACAAAAGCACUAAAGCAAGUAUAUGUGAAAGAAAAGAGCAAGGACUAUAAUAUAAAGUAGAUUAUUGAGAAGAAAACCUGGAAAAUUAUUGCAUGGGAGGACCUCAGGCCUCACUGAGGUGACUUUUAAUCCAUGAUGAGGAUGACAGCAGGGAGGCAUCUGCACAAGCAUGUGUCAGGGAGAAGCCACCCUUAGUGAAAAAACUCAUAGGUGUGAGUUUGGCAGAGGUAAAAAGGGACUAGUUUGGCUGCAGACAGCCUGAGAAAGAGAUAAGCAGAGGGAUGGAGAAUCCUAGGGCCUGGGAGAUGAGGUUAGAUAUCUGCUCCUUUCUGACAACAUUGCCCUAAAAGUCAGCACUUUUCAACAACAUAUAAUAUCUCAUAAUGUGUGUGGACCAGAAUCUGGACACAGCUCAGCUGGCUACCUCUGCCUUCAGGUCUUUUAUGAGACUGGGGGCUGUGGUCUUAACUGAAGCUGGACUGGGAAAGCAUGAGCCUUUAAGCUGACUCAUGUGAAAAUUGACAGGGUUUAGUGUGGCUGGAGAGCCUGACUUUCCUUCUCUCUACUCGUCUGAGCACCCUCUCACCCUUUGUUAUGUGGGUCUCUACAUGGAGCAUCUCAUAGCAUUGGAGCUUGCUUCCUGUGUUUGAGGAAUACAAUAGACAGAAUUAGACAAAAAGGUUUACACAAAAAGAGACAGAAAGAUCGAGGGCGCAAACGAGAAAAACCCAGUAGGAGAAAAAUUAGAGCUUUAAAAACAUCUUGACAGGGUGCGGUGGCUCACACCUGUAAUCCCAGCACUUUGGGAUGCUGAGACGUGUGGAUCGCCUGAGGUCAAGGGUUUGAAACCAACCUGGACAACAUGGUGAAACCACCGUCUCUUCUAAAAAUACAAAAUGAGCUAGAUGUGGUGGCGCAUGCCUGUAAUCCCAGCUACUUGGGAGACUGAGGCAGGAGAAUCAAUUGAACCUGGGAGGCAAAGGUUCCAAUAAGCCGAGAUCACACCACUGCACUCCAGCCUGGGAUACAAGAGUGAAACUGUGUCUCAAAAAAAAAAAAAAAAAAAAAAAAAAGAAAGAAAGAAAGAAAGAAAAAAAACUUGAGAGUUACUAUAAUUUUUCUUCUAUAUUUGUGUUAAAAUUGUAACCCCGGGCGUAAUGCUAUAAGGAGGUAGAAUGUAAUUAAACCCUUAGGGUGGGACCCUCAUAAUACAGAUUACUGGCUUUAUACAAGAAACCGCAGAGGGCUCUCAUCCUCCUGCAAAAUGAGGGUAAAACCUGAAGUGUGCAGGCUGAAAUUCAGAAGCCAGUCAUCACCAGAUCUCAACCAUGCUGACACCCUGAUCUCAAAUUUGAACCUCUGGAGGUAUGAGAAAUUAAGUCCUGUUGUCUAUAUGCUGCCUAUCUAUGGUUCUUUGGCAUAGCAGCCUGAACUAAUACAAAAGUGAUAUCCUUUUCUGUGUUUCAUUGGAGAGAAGCUGAAUUUGUACCCCCUAUACUGUUAAAAAAAAAGACUUAAAAAAUGGAUCUUCAGAAUGAAAGAUAGGAAACGGCUUGUUGAAACACUAAAAAUUUAACUGCUAUAAGUUUUUUAAACAUUGGCUGAAAUUGUUGGAACCAAUAUUGCCAACUGAAGUCCAUGAAGCAUCACUUUGCAGACUUUGGAGCCCAAAUUUCCAUUGUGUGCUUCAUACUAACUCUCCCUGAAUUUGUAUGUGACCUGUGAGGAAACAAGAAGAGAUGACUGUAUAUGUCUCAUGACUUUCCAUAUUCCUACUUUCCUUCCAGCAAUCCCCUACAGAACCCACCUAUUAGGCCUUUUCUAAUCACUGCCUUAAAGCCAGUAUGACAAAACAAAUUUGAUUUGAACUCCUAUCUCCUUGUUAGCCAACAUACAAGAUGAUAUUUUCCUCAAAACCGAAGGGCCAUAGUACUGGCAUCAGGAAGUAUUCCAUUUUAUUCAAUAAAAAACUGAGUCACUCAAUACCUAGUACUGGGAGACUUUGUGAAGACUUCCUCUGUCAUAGACGUGAUAAGGCACAUGGAUAUGAUUCUAAAUAUAAAGAGAAAGCACUAGAAAGUUGAAUUCCUGUAUUAGAUCAUUCUCAUACUGCAAUGAUGGAGUACCUGAGACUGGGUAACUUAUAAAGUAAAGAAGUUUAAUUGACUCACAUUUCCACAUAAUUGUGGGGGCACCUCAGAAACCUUCCAAUUACAGUGGCUGACAAGUGAAGUGAGUGAGAGCAUGGGAUGUACCAGAUGCUUAUGAAACUAUCAGAUCUCGUGAGAACUCACUAUCACAAGAACAGCAUGAGGAGAACCCGUCCCCAUAAUCCAAUCAUCUCCCCUCAGGUUUUCCCUUAACACCUAGGGGUUAUAAUACACAAUGAGUUUUGGGUGGGGACGCACAGCUAAACUAUAUGAAUGCCAGAGGACAGUAUCUACAUUUAAUUUCAACUUCAUACUGGAGCAGAAUGAAAAUGAGGCCCAGUGGAGAAGUGAUAUUUCCAAGAUCACCCUGGCAGACACCAGGCCUGUUUGAGUUGUGGCCCAUGCUACCUCCCACCUAUUCUCCUAAUGCUUCCAUCUCUAAGUGUAUGCAUUAUCUACAGGUGACACUACAUCAUUAUUUUUAUGUCUUAUCUUAUAUACACCUAAUACAUUCCCUAGGAAGUAGAUGUUAGCAUCAUCACCAGUGUGCAUGUUAGGAGGCUGGGGAAGCCUCGAAUACAGUGACUUUUACUGGGUCCCAGAGAUGGUAAGAAAAACAAGGUUAUGUUCCAGCUGUCUCUUCUAUCCUGGAACCCAGGUUGCAUUUAGGUCUUUCCAGGGAAUUAAGGGGAAGUUGUGUUUGCAUAAUUGUGUACAAAUAAAGAGUUGACAUGGAAGAGGAGACUGAGCAAUCAGUAGCAUAGUGGGGCCUUUCGGUAUGUCUUACAGAAACAUGGGGCCCAGUAGAUGGAACCUUGAAGAGUUUAACAUACUUUCUUGGUGUCAGAACCCAACAGCAGUUAAGAAACCAGGAAUCCACAUUCUUGAGACAGCUCUGUAUCCACCUCUGUUUGUGAGAGUUGCUCAAGAGAGUGAGAUGCUCUUUCAUUGUGCCCUGAAAUUUCUGAGUUUCAGCCUUACAAAGGCUCAAUGUAAAAGUCUUAUCUGAUAACACAGAUGUCAACUGAGCCCUCAUCACUGAUGUCCCUGGCUAUUGGCCGGGUGCACCUACAAAUAACACAGGGCAGCCCAGGACAGGCCCCUCCACGCCAGCCUCUCUUGUCAACUCAUCUGGGCAGUCCCACACCACUUCUUAGUACCAUGAGUUGGAUGGGGAGCAAGAGGGAGGGCACUCUUCUUGGACUGAAGUAGAUUGUCGGGUGUUGGAACUCUUGUGUACCUGUCAUGUUCAUACCUAGGCCAUAGCUGGCAGAAUAAAAAGAAGAGGGUUGGAGAACGAGUCUGUGUACUCAGAUGUGAAUUCCAAGACUUUAACUUGUCCUCUGGUUUCCUUCCUUCAUGGAGAUUUAUACAGAUUCUCCUUAUGUGCCUAAUCUGAAGAGAAGAAUUUCUUUUAUUUUCUUUUUUCUUUUUUCCUUUCUUCUUUUCUUUUUUCCUUUCUUCUUUUCUCUUUUCUUUUCUUUCUCUUUCUUUCUUUCUUCUUUCUUUUUUUUUUCUUUCUCUUUCUUUCUUUCCAUCUCUCUCUUUCUUUCUUUCCUUCUCUCUCUCUUUCUUUUUUAUUUAUCAUGAAGUCUCACUCUGUUACCCAGGCUGGAGUGCAGAGAAAAGCAGAAUUUCUAAUGGAGGUGUCACAUACGGUCAAAGCAAGGAAGAACACAGACUUUUCUUUGCGUGGUUUCUAGGCACAUUUACAAAGCUGCAUUCAGAUUGAUGAGGAGCUUCAUCAUUCAGUUUAAUGUGGCCAACUCCUCCCUCUUUUUGGAAAAAGAGCAGGUGCACUAAACCAGCAAACACAGCCAGCACUGGGCUGUGCUGAGAGCAGCCACAUAGGGGUCUCUACAGACAGAAAGCUGAGAAGACAGGGAAAGAAACAGGACCCAGACUCAAAUAUGAAAAAUCUCUGGGCUUUGUCCUACGGCCUUCCCAUGAGUAACUCAUAGCCUUGUUCCAGUGGAAUCUGGCCUUCACUAGUCUCAGUGGCAAGUUGGUUAUGUGGAAAGUCUCUCUUCACACACUUGUGCGAAUAACGAUAAAGAAUUUUGUAUUGUUUUCACUCUACAUUAGACCAUGAGUAUUUAUGCCUGUGGCUGCAGUUUGUAUUAGUUUCCGGCCCCAGGUAUCUCCUGCAGCAUGCAGCUUCAGUCCUAUCGGACCCUCAAAACUUAAAAGCUAACACUAUUACUAGGGAGGAUUUCGCAGGAAAAUGGUGAGAGGGUUACACACAAAAAAGGUUAAACUACUCUAUGCAUGUUUCUGCAAUGUGUUAUCUCAGGAACUCAUUUCUGUAGCCCAUCAGGGCAGGAGCUGGGCUCUCACCUGUUGAUAAUAUUCCAUAAGGGAGGUUCUUCCCCACAGUGUUUAGUCUUCCAACGCUGGUACAGCCUGACAUGAUGACAUUCUACUUUCAUGUCGGUCAUGCUGCAGGGAAAAUUCUGUGAGUGUCCUAAUAGGCUGGAAUAAUUUGCUAGGGUGAACCCCAUCUUUGGUGCUCACUUUUCUGUUAUCUUGUAAUUAGCUUUAUUCUCAGCAAAUCCAUGUCUAUUUUAUUUAUCUGUUUAUUUACUUAUUUUUAUGUAUGGAAAAACACUUUUUUUUAUUUACUUAUUUAUUUAGAGACAGGGUCUCCGUCUGUUACCCAAGCUGGAGUACAGUGGUAGAGUGCUGUGAUCAUGGCUCAUUGCAGCUUCAAACUCUUGGGCUCAAAUGAUUCUCUCACCUCAGCCUCCUGUGCCACCAUGCCCUGCUAGUUGAUUUUAAUUUUUUAUAAAGAAGGAGACUCAUUAGGCAGCCCAGGCUGGUCUCAAACUCCUGGGCCCAAGCAAUUCUCUCAUCUCAGCCUCCCAAAGCACUGGGAUUAAAAACAUGAGCCACUGUACUGAGCUGUGCCUACUUCAAAAGACUGAAAAUAAAAAAUCAAUAAAUCUUUGCCAAAUUAAAAAACAAAACAAUAGUUUCCAGGUCUUAGACAAAGACAAUUCUGUGUCAUGAAGGUGGCAAAAGGCUUAUUUAGCUGUUAAAAUGAUUUGCUUAUAUUUCAAAGAAGCAGAGAAAAAAAGAUACAUAUAAAAGUUUUCCAGGCCAGGCACGGCUGUUCAUGCCUGUAAUCCCAACAUUUGGGGAGGCCAAGGCAGGAGGAUAUCUUGAAGCCAAAUGUUUGAGUCCAGUACAGGCAACAUGGUGAAAUUCUGUCACCAUAAAAAAAUAAAUAAAAUAAAUAUGGCUGGGCAUGGUGGUUCACGCUUGUAAUACCAGCACUUUGGGAGUCGGAGGCAGGUGGAUAAUGAGGUCAGGGGUUCGAGACCAGCCUGGCCAAAAUGGUGAAACCCUUUCUCUCCUAAAAAUAAUAACAAUAAAAAAUCAGCCAGGCAUGGUGCUGUGCGCCUGUAAUGCCAGCUACUCAAAAGGUUGAAGCAAGAGAAUUGCUUGAACCUGGGAGGUGGAGGUUGCAUUGAGGUAAGAUCAUGCCACUACACUCUAGCCUGACCCACAGAGCAAGACACUGUCUUGAAUAAAUAAAUAAAUAAAUAAAUAAAUAAAUAAAUAAAUAAAUAAAGUUAGCCAGGCCUGGAGGUGCAUGCCUAUAGUCCUAGGUAAUUAAGAGGUUGAGGCAGGAGGACUGCUCAAACCCAAGAAGUUAAGGUUAUAGUGAGCUAUGAUUAUGCCAUUGCACUUCAGACUAAGCAAAAGAGUAAGAUUCCAUCUCAAAAAAUUACUAAAAAAAGUUCUCUAAAUUACAUUGUUUAAGAAAAGGGAAAAGAAAAAAUAUCUUUUUUAAUUUUCAAAUGGGAGGAUAGAGCCUCUCAUUUCUAAUAUGUAUUUCCUUCUGCAAAAACAUGGCCUAGGCCCAUGGUCUUGAACUACUGGACAUCUGAAUUUUAGUAGGUGCUGGAUUCAGGCAACUGAGGGGUGGCUUGGACACACUAAGUGCACGUAAAUAAAAGGUUUGAGGUGAACUAAAAGGUAAAAGAGGGGAAGGUGCUAUUAAGAACCCACAAUUGGGAGACAUUACAGGGUUGGUGGAAGGACUGGUUCAUGCUACAGAUACUGACCCAGGUGAAACUUUACUCUGACUUAUUUCUGUGUCCAUGCAGGAAGACGAGAUUAUGAUCAGGUGGCACAGAAACCUGGGAUGGUGAAAAAACCAGGUUGCCCGUGCAGAUUCGGUGUCUGAGGUAGAGCAUAUGCCAGGGGUCUUGUAGGCACGUGUGUGGGUUUUUGGUGGGAAAGUCUAUGAGGAAAGGUAGCAUGGGCCACAAUCUUGAUGCCGAAGCCCUGUGCUGGGAGGGGCUUGACCACGUCAACAUGCAGUGUGUAUGUUCAGUGGGUGAAAAACAUGUGGUGGCCUCAGGUUGGCAGGAGGGUAGAAGGCAUCUGUUCUCAGAACUUCUUCCCUCAGAGUCGUCGGUCCUUCUUACCAUGGGAGGAUGCCUGGAACCACAGGGCAGUGCAUGGUGUAGCAGCCUGUGUGCAGAGCAGAGCCUACCUUCCCCGAGACACCUGGAGUCUCUCUCCAGCAGAGGCCCCCACAUUGUCUUUCUUUUUAUGUUUUUGAUCCUAAAUGUGUAAAGUUCCCUGAAAACCCACUGAUUCUCCAACACCCAUUUGUUGCCUCAAAAUUUAAUUCUGACACAACUUAGAGUUCGCACAGACCCCACAAAUUCAGGGCUCAGUCCCACAUCACCUCUCUCACUGUAGAGGAGAGUUACACAUCCCUGAAGCCCAUCUACACUUCUGAGCUACCUCCUAUAAAUCUGAGACUAGCAUAAACCCCUUUUCAAGUUAAAUAAUUUGAUAGAAUUACUAAAAAGAAAACCUCAACAAAUAACUGUAAUUAUAUUUACUACUUUAUUAUAAAAAUAUAACUCAGAAACAGCCAAAUGGAAGAGAUGUCUAGGGCAAGGAACAGUUGUGGGUGAAGGUAAUCCUGGAAAUAGCUAUAUUUAAAGAAAUUCCCCCAUUCUUUGCAUUCUCAAAGAACAGCUUAGUGAAGAGAAAUGUGCUUCCCGUGAUGACUUUGAGGAUGCUCCCUGCUGUUUUUUUAACCUAUCACAAAAAUGGACACAGGUUGCAAAUUCCCAUUUUUAAAAAUCAACAACCAUUCAGUAAUUUAGUCUUCAGUGGUCAAAAUAACAUACUCUUUACAGAAACUUUGCUUGUUUCUCUUCUUCCAAACAGCCCCUGAACUUUGACUCACCCACAGCUUCAGCAAACCUACAACCCUUAUUUAUACAUAACCCUCCUAAGAACAGGCUGAGUUCAAGGUGAAACAUUAUCUUAUCUGGGAUCUCAUUUUGCUACCCUCCAUCCUGUGCUUCCUUUCCAACCUUCUUUGUAAACUUGUUUUCUCCUCCCUAUGAAAUAAGGCACUUUUCCACCUAACCUUAGAGAUACUCAAAGAUCUAAUCAUUUGUACUUUUUCUUUGUUGCAAUACUUCUUAGGUAACUUCUUAGACCAAGUCUAGAAACAGUCUGAGGACAAUAACAAUUCCAUUCUAAAAAGAAUCUCCCAACAUUUCUUCUAUCUCUACCUCAACUGCAUCUGCCUGUGAACUUCCAGCUUACCAAGGCUCUAUAUCUUCUGGCAGUGACAAAGGCUCCUUCCAUGAUUGGUGUGAGUAGGCUUGGACACCUGCAGGGCAGACACCCAGGAAUAAUCAACUGAGCCUUCAGUGGUCCUCUUUUGCUGGGUCAAGGCAUCAUAGCUGGGAAACGGAUUCACAAGACCCAGGCUGUUCCCUACAUAUGUUUCCUCCUCCGACAUCAGUUCAUCAGUCAAUCAAGCCAUGUGAGAGUGGAGGCCUUGUAUUCCCUAUUAUUCUUGGGCACUCUACUCCAAGUAGGAAAAGGCCAGGAGGUCCUGUUAAAGGAUGCACUCAGAGCCUGGGCUCCCUAACAUAUGAGAGUGCUAACCAGCAGGUGUAGACUUUUCAGGAGUGAAGAAUGAGGCAGGCAUUCCAAAACUGGACCUUCAUCACCUUUUGUUUCAUCUCAAGACAAUUCUGAGGGACUGUUUUGGAGCGUGUCUGGAAGGUGAACCUUGAAGAAGAGUGUGGGCUUUGAUGUGACUCAGUUGAGAUCUUUCAUGGGGAGGCAGGAAUUCAAUGCCCAGAAUCUGGGCUGGUGUCUUUGAGGUCAGUAGGUUGCGUCUUUGUAUCCAAGUCCAUUGUUACUAGGUUGGAGGCUGGAGAUUCUAAAUGGCUUCCAGACUAUCUCUCUGAUUCUCUUUGGGAGAUGGGGUCUGAAAGACAAUGUCAGUAGUUUUGGGAAAUUCUAGAAAGUGUGCUUGGAAACGUGGGAAGAGCUCUUGCCUAGUGCCUAAAUGCUCCAUUUGCAGCUCUAGCCAAGUAGAUACUUGGUAGGUAUAGAGCCGGGUUUGCGUUUAUAUCAGCAAAACCUAUGUCAGAGUUGAAGAAGUAGUCAGGAAAAAGCGUCUUGGUCGCAGGCCGGGGAACAUCUUAAAAGCAAACUUCUAGCCUGCUGACUCUUGGCAAUGAGUGUUGGAUCCUGGCUAAAGUGCCUUGAAUGCAGCAUGAGGCCAAUCCAUGAAUCCAACUUCUCAUGGAGAAAUGUUAAUAUUUUUUCAGUUUGAAUCAAUCAGGGUGAAACUACCAUGCUAUUGGUUUGCUUACUUUUUAUUAUUUCAUGUAAAAUCUAAGACAAAAUACAUUAAAUGCUUAUUGACAUAUGUAUUUAUUCUUCACCAGGCUGAUAAUAUCUGCCUAAUUUUAAACUUUCUUCCAUUUUGUAGGUUUCAACUUAUUCUAUUGUAAGAUACUGUUAAAUCUAAUAGAGGCAUUGUCACUUUUACGUAUAAUUUUAUUUUAUUUCAUAUAUUUCCUAUUGGCUUUUUACAUUUAAAUUAUGGAGCACUUCAUCAUAUAAAAAACUUCAAUUAUAUUUAAACAGUAAGUCUUUGGAUUUUUUUGCCUUGUAAUUUCCAUAUUACAUAAUAAUGAGAUAAACAUUAAUGUUUUCAGGGUACUUUAAAUUUUAGAUAAUUACUCAUUGUAUUCAUGUGAAAUUUGUUUUUACUGCAUGUGUGGGUUGGAGGACUGUUUUCACUUCUGAUUCAUCUUUACUCUUAUCUCAUCAGAGCUCAUACCUCUUGUAGUUGGGGGAUUGCAGUUUAUAAUUCCAAUAAAUGGGGCAAAUUCAAUAAUAACAUAAUACAAAUGAGUUUGAAUGCAGGACAGGUCUUCAAAGCAUACACAACAUGGGCCUACAUAUGUACAACAAUAAUAAUUUAUAAGUUACUGUUUGGAUGGAAAGUAAAAGUACAGAAAAUUUGUUAAAGGAAAUUAAAAUGGAGAUCAUGUCUCAAUAAUCUCUGAGCAGACAAAAUUAGUUAGGUCUCAUAAGUGAUCUCAACCUCGCUUGAUUUGCAAAUACAAACAAAACUUACAUUAUUUCUUGUAGCUGCAUAUUGAAAAAAGAGAAAUGAAGCUCAACCAGUCAGAAGUAGCCAACAACCUUAUAUAAAUAGAAACUGUCCAACAAGGUAAACAGACAAACAAAAAACAAUAAAAAAAGUUGUGCUACCACCAAAUGAUUUCUUUGUUUCUACAUUUUUCAAAUAAAUACUUGCUUCUUACACUGUCAAUGAAGCACUCAAUAUCUUUCCGUCUGAUAUUUUAUAAUUUAUCAAAUGCUCUUACUCAAAUAAACACUUUGCAAUUUCAUUGUGUCUCAAAUUACUUUUUAGCAGAAUAAACUAGGAAUAAAUAUUACAAAAAUAUCUACGGAAUAUGGAAAAAACAUAGAAAGUUUAUGAAAUAUAUGAAUGUAGACAUAAGCAAAUAGACAAUUUGUAUCAUAUUCUUAGGCAGAAAAACUCAAUAUUAUCAACAUCAAUUGUCCUUAUAGUUAUUUAUAAAUUCAAUUUUGUUCCUAUACUGAUACCAUUAAAUAUUGCAAGUACACGUUACUAUAAAAUGUUAUAUAGAUGAAAACACAAACAAGAAUAGACAAGAAAACUCUGAAAAAAAAAAAAAAAACCACUGGCAAGCCCUGUGUAAAAUCUUGAUUGAUUAAAAAACUCAUGGAUCACUGAAACUAAAAAUUCAGAAAUAAACCAAAGUGUCUAAGAAAGUGUCAUAGUGCAUCUUGGCUGCUAUACCAAAAUAGCUUAGACUGGGUAAAGGAUAAAUAAGAGAAAUGUAUUUUUCACAGUUAUGGAGUCUGGAAAGUGCAAGAUCAAGGCAGCAGCAAAUUUCGUAUAUGGUGAGAGCCCUAUUCCCCAUAGAUGGUACCAUCUCGCACAUGGGACAAGGGCAUUCCCUUCAACUUCCUUUGAAAGAGCACUGAUUCCAUUCAUGAAGAUGAAGAACUCUUGGCUUCACCACUUUCCCAAAGGCCUCACGCCUAAAAUUAUACACAUGAAUUUGAAAGGGGACAUAAACAUUCAGGCCAUAGCAAUAAAAACUACAUGGGUGAUGGCAUCAUUUAUACAUGAGGUGUAAAAAUGUGAUGUUCUUAUCACAAAGGAAAUAAAUGAUUUAUUCUUCAUGGCAUAUAUCAAAAUGAAGGUCCAAUGAAAAUAUUUUUUAUGAAGAUAAAUCUAUAUGGCAAAAAAUUAAGUAUUGAUAAGUUUAACCCUACAGGUUGCAUCAGGAUUUUCAAGGUUUCCAGGGAUGAGCAAGGCCCUGGAGUUUCCUCCUGUGACAUUUUCCUGGAAGUUGCUCAUGCUGUUAUUCAAUUUGAAAGUAGAUAAUAUUGUUUGUUUCUCUUCCAAUAUUUACUAAAUUCAAAAUAAUAUAGGGCUCUUUACUCAUAAUUCUCAAACAAUCAUUCAGUCAGUGGGGCUCUGCUGAGGAAGAGCACAGACACAUCCACACAAGUAUAAUGUUCCUCAAAUAGAGGACUUCUCCUUGUGCUGGAGCCACCUAUGUUGCACUCGAUCAGAGGCUUUCCCAGGAUAGCAUUUCUCUGCAGCCCUACCUCAGUCUUAACCCUGAAAAUCCCACUCAGAAGGCGACGGAUGAACACCCACCCUAGCAUUCUAAUCUAAUGGAUCCUCUCUUAACAAUCCCUUCCAGGGAUCUGGGAUCUUUCCUGGAUUCGUCGGCCACACACACCUAGGCUCAAAAAUUUGGACAGAAACUUUGAUCCUCAUUGGCCCUCCUGCCCUGUCCUACCAGCUUCUCUAGAAGUAUGCUUCUCUAAUUGCUCCUUAGAGACACUAUCUAAGGGUAUCAACCUGUGCCAAUAUAAUUGAUCUCAUAAAGUGAGAAGGGAAAUAGGCAAGAGUCCAGCUAGCCUAGAAGCAGUGUCUAGGGUUCCUUACCUGAUUUAUGUCUCUGAUUUACCUAAAUAUUGACAAAUACAGAUUCACCUCUAGGCAGUAGAAAAACAGAAGGAGAAAUCCCAGUUCGUAGAGGAAGAAGAAAAUGCAAUCAAUGCUGUCUAGAGUCCCGCUUAAGCUCAGCCACAGGGUACUAAGUCUCUUCAGGAAAAAGCAAUUGUUGUCCAUCAUCUGAAAAACUGUGGCCUGGAACCAUGGGCACCGAGAGUGCACACUGCCCACUAGAGUUCCAUGCCUACAUCACGGAGAGAUAGAAUAGUCUCAAAGGAUUCUUAAGAGUAAUGUGGGGACCAAAAGGAGAUGAAUCCACAGCCUCUGCCUUACCGUCUGAUCUAACUAAUAGUAUUUCCAGACCUUUCUGUGGGCUGCACCAGGGGUUGUUCAGAAAGAAAAAAAGUUGUUAAUGUCCCACCGUUUCCCGUAGCUUCCGAGGUCUGUGUUGUUCA